UACGUAGGGUGCAAGCGUUAAUCGGAAUUACUGGGCGUAAAGCGUGCGCAGGCGGUUCUAUAAGACAGAUGUGAAAUCCCCGGGCUCAACCUGGGAACUGCAUUUGUGACUGUAGAGCUGGAGUACGGUAGAGGGGGAUGGAAUUCCGCGUGUAGCAGUGAAAUGCGUAGAUAUCAGGAGGAACACCGGUGGUGUAAACGGCUUUCUGGACCUAACUGACGCUGAUGCACGAAAGCGUGGGUAGCAAACAGG
rnacentral:rRNA from 1 species